GCAAGUCGAGCGGUAGAGAGGUGCUUGCACCUCUUGAGAGCGGCGGACGGGUGAGUAAAGCCUAGGAAUCUGCCUGGUAGUGGGGGAUAACGCUCGGAAACGGACGCUAAUACCGUAUACGUCCUACGGGAGAAAGCAGGGGACCUUCGGGCCUUGCGCUAUCAGAUGAGCCUAGGUCGGAUUAGCUAGUUGGUGAGGUAAUGGCUCACCAAGGCGACGAUCCGUAACUGGUCUGAGAGGAUGAUCAGUCACACUGGAACUGAGACACGGUCCAGACUCCUACGGGAGGCAGCAGUGGGGAAUAUUGGACAAUGGGCGAAAGCCUGAUCCAGCCAUGCCGCGUGUGUGAAGAAGGUCUUCGGAUUGUAAAGCACUUUAAGUUGGGAGGAAGGGCAUUAACCUAAUACGUUAGUGUUUUGACGUUACCGACAGAAUAAGCACCGGCUAACUCUGUGCCAGCAGCCGCGGUAAUACAGAGGGUGCAAGCGUUAAUCGGAAUUACUGGGCGUAAAGCGCGCGUAGGUGGUUCGUUAAGUUGGAUGUGAAAUCCCCGGGCUCAACCUGGGAACUGCAUUCAAAACUGUCGAGCUAGAGUAUGGUAGAGGGUGGUGGAAUUUCCUGUGUAGCGGUGAAAUGCGUAGAUAUAGGAAGGAACACCAGUGGCGAAGGCGACCACCUGGACUGAUACUGACACUGA
rnacentral:rRNA from 1 species